rnacentral:lncRNA from 12 species
CGGCACGUCCAGUGACGUCACUAAGGCCUUAAGGCGCGCGUCAUGACGUCACCGACGCGGGCCCUGACGUCACGCGUCCCCCCCGAGCCCGGCGGGGCCGAGGCUCGGGCGCGGUUCCGAAUCGCGCGGUUCAUCAUGGAGGCGGGUGUGAAGCUGGGGCUGGGCUCAGGUCAGUGACUCCCCAGGUGUGACCCAGGUGUGACCCAGGUGACACUCACCUGUCCCCAGGUGUGAAGCUGGGGCUGGGCUCAGGUCAGUGACUCCCCAGGUGUGACCCAGGUGUGACCCAGGUGACACUCACCUGUCCCCAGGUGUGAAGCUGGGGCUGGGCUCAGGUCAGUGACUCCCCAGGUGUGACCCAGGUGUGACCCAGGUGACACUCACCUGUCCCCAGGUGUGAAGCUGGGGCUGGGCUCAGGUCAGUGACUCCCCAGGUGUGACCCAGGUGUGACCCAGGUGACACUCACCUGUCCCCAGGUGUGAAGCUGGGGCUGGGCUCAGGUCAGUGACUCCCCAGGUGUGACCCAGGUGUGACCCAGGUGACACUCACCUGUCCCCAGGUGUGAAGCUGGGGCUGGGCUCAGGUCAGUGACUCCCCAGGUGUGACCCAGGUGUGACCCAGGUGACACUCACCUGUCCCCAGGUGUGAAGCUGGGGCUGGGCUCAGGUCAGUCACUCCCCAGGUGUGACCCAGGUGUGACCCAGGUGACACUCACCUGUCCCCAGGUGUGAAGCUGGGGCUGGGCUCAGGUCAGUCACUCCCCAGGUGUGACCCAGGUGUGACCCAGGUGACACUCACCUGUCCCCAGGUGUGAAGCUGGGGCUGGGCUCAGGUCAGUCACUCCCCAGGUGUGACCCAGGUGUGACCCAGGUGACACUCACCUGUCCCCAGGUGUGAAGCUGGGGCUGGGCUCAGGUCAGUCACUCCCCAGGUGUGACCCAGGUGUG